AGAGUUUGAUCCUGGCUCAGAACGAACGCUGGCGGCGUGGAUUAGGCAUGCAAGUCGAACGCGAAAGAGGGGGCAACCCCUCGAGUAGAGUGGCGAACGGGUGAGUAACGCGUGAAGAACCUGCCUUCGAGAGGGGGAUAACACUCCCAACGGGGUGCUAAUACCACAUGAGACCACGGGCUCACAUGGGCCCGAGGUCAAAGGUGGCCUCUGCUUGCAAGCUACCACUCGAAGAUGGCUUCGCGUCCCAUUAGCUAGUUGGCGGUGUAACGGACCACCAAGGCGACGAUGGGUAGCUGGUCUGAGAGGAUGGUCAGCCACACUGGGACUGAGAUACGGCCCAGACUCCUACGGGAGGCAGCAGUCGAGAGGCUUUGGCAAUGGGGGAAACCCUGACCAAGCGACGCCGCGUGGAGGAUGAAGGCCCUUGGGUUGUAAACUCCUUUUGCCGGGGAAGAAGUGCGAUCAAGGUGAACAAUCUGGUCGUUUGACGGUACCUGGCGAAUAAGCUCCGGCCAACUCCGUGCCAGCAGCCGCGGUAAUACGUAGGUGGCGAGCGUUGUCCGGAAUUACUGGGCGUAAAGGGCGCGCAGGCGGUCUGUUAAGUCCGGGGUGAAAUCCUCNNNCUCAACUGGAGGGGGACCUUGAAUACUGGCAGGCUGAGUGCGAGAGAGGGGAAGCGGAAUUCCACGUGUAACGGUGAAAUGUAUAGAUAUGUGGAGGAACACCUGGUGGCGAAGGGCGGCUUCCUGGCACCUUAACUGACGCUGAGGCGCGAAAGCUGGGGGAGCGAACAGGAUUAGAUACCCUGGUAGUCCCAGCCGUAAACUAUGAACACUAGGUGUGGGGGGUAUCGACCCCUUCCGUGCCGCASUAACGCAAUAAGUGUUCCSCCUGGGGAGUACGGCCGCAAGGUUGAAACUCAAAGGAAUUGACGGGGGCCGCACAAGCGGUGGAGUAUGUGGUUUAAUUCGAAGCAACGCGAAGAACCUUACCAGGGCUUGACAUCGAUGGAAGGGCGCUGAAAGGCGUCUGCUCUUCGGAGCCAGAAGACAGGUGGUGCAUGGCUGUCGUCAGCUCGUGUCGUGAGAUGUUGGGUUAAGUCCCGCAACGAGNGCAACCCCUACUGCCAGUUGCCAGCGAGUAGCGUCGGGCACUCUGGCGGGACUGCCGGUGACAAACCGGAGGAAGGCGGGGAUGAGGUCAAGUCAUCAUGCCCUUUAUGCCCUGGGCUACACACGUACUACAAUGGCCGGUACAGAGGGAGGCGAAGGCGCGAGCCGGAGCGGAUCCUAAAAGCCGGUCCCAGUUCAGAUCGCAGGCUGCAACCCGCCUGCGUGAAGUCGGAAUCGCUAGUAAUCUCAGGUCAGCAUACUGAGGUGAAUACGUUCCCGGGCCUUGUACACACCGCCCGUCACACCACGAGAGUUUGCGAUACCCGAAGCCGGUGGCCCAACCCGCAAGGGAGGGAGCCGUCUAAGGUAGGGCAGAUGAUUGGGGUGAAGUCGUAACAAGGUAGCCGUAUCGGAAGGUGCGGUUGGAUCACCUCCUU
rnacentral:rRNA from 1 species